GAUGAAGAACGUAGCGAAAUGCGAUAAGUAGUGUGAAUUGCAGAAUUCAGUGAAUCAUCGAAUCUUUGAACGCACAUUGCGCCCCAUGGUAUUCCGUGGGGCAUGCCUGUUCGAGCGUCAUUUACCCCCUCAAGCUCCGCUUGGUGUUGGGCGUCUGUCCCGCUUCGCGCGCGGACUCGCCCCAAAGGUAUUGGCAGCGGUCGUGCCAGCUUCUCGCGCAGUACAUUGCGCUUCUCGAGGCACCGGUGGGCCCGCGUCCAUCAAGCUCACCCCCCCAGUUUGACCUCGGAUCAGGUAGGGAUACCCGCUGAACUUAAGCAUAUCAAUAAGCGGAGGA
rnacentral:misc_RNA from 1 species